CAGCCCCAGUUUACACCGAGUUUAAAAGGUUGUCCAGCUGGGGCUCUGAGUCGGCUGGCCUACGUCCUCCCUGGUGUUGAUGGCAGUGCAAUAUGCACGAAGGUCAUUUAAUAGCAUUUACUCGGCGUAAAACGUUUGGCUGGAAGGACGCUGGCUCGGAACUGGUUGUUCCCAUUCAUUGGGUGAGCCAAACGAUGCUGUCCGAGUUGCACAGCAUGCACGGCGUGGUGGUGCAGAUCUGGAUGAAGUACUUGCCCACAGGCUGGCGCAGGAACAUGGUAUAGAAGGUGGCCACCUCGUACACCCUCAUCGGAGGGAUCUCAAGCACCUCGGCCACCUGACAGACAACAUGGCUGUUGAAACGGCCUCCCGUUUUGUUUUCUUUCUCAUGACUCUCGUGGAAAAAUUCACCUUGUUCAUGACGCUGACGGGGAGCCACCCGUGUUGCCUCUGGGCCAAAUCCAAUACGGGGAUGGUAGCGGCUUGCUUGUGGCCAACGGGGUACAUUGAAAUGAUAGCUUCGAUUCUCUACGGACAAAACAACAUGCCUGAGGGUGAUGACGCAAAUGGCGAAUAAAAGGCAACCGACAAACUCUGCUGUGCUGUUUUUUGUUGUUUUUUUACACAUCUCAUAUUGCAUUGCAGCAUGGUCACAAACAUCCAGUUCCAUUUUGAAGCCAAUAACAUCUCUGUAUAAAAGGGCAAUUCGAAUUCCCAAUAGUGUGCUAGCAUCAUUCAAAAACAAGCUUUUUACUUUUGAGAAUUUUGUGAAUUUUAGAACCUUGAAAUUGUCCUUUUACUGUUUAAAACGGUUGUGUGUCAGCAUUGUUAACUGGUCUCGUGGUGAGGUAUCAGAGCUCUCUGAAACCGACCACAAGAGCCUAUGUUCAAAACAACUUCUGGACAGUCUAGCUUCUGCUAUCAGAUAGUUAAAUUGGGGAACACUCUCCCAGGUGAACGUAAAUUGGUGACUAAUAUAAAUGUCUUGAACAAAAAAAAAAAAAAACUGAAACGUGGCUGACGUCGGGCCAAAUUUGCUCUGACUGAGUUAGACACACUUGUUAGCAUUAAAUGAAACAUAUAUUUUUUGUAACACUAUUGCACAUUUGUAAAUUGAUGUUUGAUUUUAAUAGUUUUACUUUUUGUGUGACUGUCAUAUCUGCCUAGGGGACUGCCAAUGAAAGCUAGCUUAAUUUGGCUAACUCGGGCAAAUUUACAUUAUAUAAUGUUGAUUAAUUGUGCAUUGUCCUUUUUUAAAUAAGCAAAUGAGGCUUGUGAGCUGUUAUAAAAAUAACAAUUACAAUAACUAGUGUGUGUGAACACGCAGCUAUUAUUCAGUUACAUGAAUGGCAGCAGGAAAAUAGACAGGCUCAUUGGACCUUCUGCAAUUAGUAGAAGAGCAUCUCAUUGUUCUGCCUGUCAAACUGUUGUAUGUUGCUGGCAAAGAUGAAUAAAGAUACUGGACAUUA